UGUAAAAACAUUUAUUAACUAAAAUUUAGGAAGUUUAAACGUGUUUCAAAGAUUUAUUCUGUUUAAAAUAAAUUAAAAGAAGAAAAUUGGCAUAGUGUAACAGAAGCCUUUCCUCGUUCUCUCCCAAUCUCACUUUCUCAAAAUCAACCUCUCAACCUCACGUCUCUCUCGUCAAAAAAACAAUCUCCACACAUCUCUCUCUCAAUCGCACCUUCCCCCCUCAAUCGCUCUCAACCUGCG
rnacentral:lncRNA from 1 species